rnacentral:rRNA from 1 species
AUGCAAGUCGAACGCAGUAGCAAUACUGAGUGGCAGACGGGUGAGUAACAUGUGGGAAUCUGCCUUGUGGUUCAGGACAACAUUGGGAAACCGAUGCUAAUACUGGAUAAGCCCUUACGGGGAAAGUUUUAAUGCCAUAAGAUGAGCCCGCAUUUGAUUAGUUAGUUGGUGAGGUAAUGGCUCACCAAGACAAUGAUCAAUAGCUGAUCUGAGAGGAUGAUCAGCCACACUGGGACUGAGACACGGCCCAGACUCCUACGGGAGGCAGCAGUGGGGAAUCUUGCACAAUGGAGGAAACUCUGAUGCAGCGAUGCCGCGUGAGUGAAGAAGGCCUUUGGGUUGUAAAGCUCUUUUGUAGGGGAAGAUAAUGACUGUACCCUAAGAAUAAGGUCCGGCUAACUUCGUGCCAGCAGCCGCGGUAAUACGAAGGGACCUAGCGUAGUUCGGAAUUACUGGGCGUAAAGCGCGCGUAGGCCGUUGAGUUAGUUAAUUGUGAAAUCCCAAAGCUUAACUUUGGAACUGCAAUUAAAACUGCUCGACUAGAGUUUGAUAGAGGAAAGCGGAAUACAUAGUGUAGAGGUGAAAUUCGUAGAUAUUACGUAGAACACCAGUUGCGAAGGCGGCUUUCUGGAUCAACACUGACGCUGAGGCGCGAAAGUAUGGGUAGCAAAGAGGAUUAGAUACCCUCGUAGUCCAUACCAUAAACGAUGAUUGCUAGAUGUUGGAAAUUUAUUUUCAGUAUCGCAGCUAACGCAUUAAGCAAUCCGCCUGGGGAGUACGACCGCAAGGUUAAAACUCAAAUGAAUUGACGGGGACCCGCACAAGCGGUGGAGCAUGUGGUUUAAUUCGAAGAUACGCGCAGAACCUUACCAACCCUUGACAUGUCUGUCGCGAGUUUAGGAAACUAGACUUUUCGGUUCGGCCGGACAGAACACAGGUGCUGCAUGGCUGUCGUCAGCUCGUGU